CACUUACUAGCUAGCUCAUAUACC
rnacentral:rRNA from 1 species